UGGAAGGGGCAGUUCGGCAGUCGGGCCAGGCCAGCGGAUUUUUCGUCAAUUCAGGAGGAACGAGAGCAAUCGUGGAGCUUUUGAUACCCCAGUUACAAUUUCUUGAUGCUGAAGGUGCCCAAGGUGAGCUAUGGGAAUUAUCAAGGAUCUUCUUGGAGUCAUUAAUAGAAGAGACUGGGUUGCAGAGAGUGAAGGCCAUAUUUCCAGACGCCGGGGCAGCUGCUCUUCUGAAAUAUCAGUGGAAAGAUGCAAACUUUGGAUUUUCCAGCUUAAGUGACCGAAAGCCUGUAGGAGAUGAAGAUGACAUUGUAGUUAUGAUACUUCCUGACUAUCAG
rnacentral:misc_RNA from 1 species